GCUUAGCAUAAAGUUAUGUCUUCUGGGGACUUUAUGUAUUAGUGGUUGUAGGUAGUGUAAGGAUAUAUCAUCAACUUUCUUAUUUGUAUGUUUUAAUAACUCUAGUCAGCUCAUGGAGGCUUUAAGUAUAGCAAAUAGGGUGGAUUGCUCUCCUGUUUCUUUGGUGCUGGGUACUAUACAAAGGGAAGAUAAAGUAGCAGAAGAGGUGAAUUCGACUGUCAAAAACAUCUACUUCAGAAGGCAGAAAAAGGAGCAUCUAAAGGCGAAGAAAAACCUUGAACAUAACAUAUGCAUUGAGAGAAACAGAAGGAAGAUUAUAAUACUGUCAGCCUCUGAUCCUUGGAAAUACUUG